UGGUCCACGGAAGGAGUGUGGCUCUUCACCGGCCAGCUUCUUCGACGACGCCCGCAAGUUGUUCGACGAUUUGCCCGCAAGGUACAAAUGGACUCCACCGACAAGUUCUUUUUCCACAAUUUCAUUUGCGACUCGGAUGAUUCUUCAUCCGACAAUGAGAAGCUUCUGGCCGCUGUGUUGGUCAUCCAUGACCACCAUAGUAGGCAGCGGCCGAUGUUCCGGGCCUCGAUCCCGGGGCACGCUGUGGCGUUGCAUCGCAACCGAGAGAGCGGCCAUUUCCUACUCUGGAAGGACUACUUCGAGACACCCAACCCGCUCUUCAAACCUCACCUAUUCCGGAGUCAUUUUCGUAUGGCUAGGCAUGUUUUCAACCGUAUCUGGGAGGGGGUGGUGGCAUACGGUAAGUAUUUCGAGUGCAAGGAGGAUGCCCUUCGAAAGAUUGGCUUCUCCUCUUAUCAGAAAUGCACUGCAACUAUUCGGAUGCUUGCAUACGGAAUUCUCGGUGCUCUCAUUGAUGAGUAUGUCCGUAUGAGCGAGUCCACGUGCCUAGGGUCUAGUAUAGGUUCUGCAAGGCCGUGA
rnacentral:rRNA from 1 species